rnacentral:lncRNA from 1 species
UGCAUAAGUAGCAUUUUGCAGGUAGACAAAAGUCUUCAGGUUCCUCAACUGAUAAAAUGAGAUUAAGUGUGUAGAGCAGUGCCUGGCACAUAGUAAAUGUUCAGUAAAUGUUAACUAUUGUUUUAUUACACAGACACAUUAAUAAAUUCCAGCUUCCUAUACAAAGGCACCAGUGUUAGAGGUUUAGGAUACCAAGAGGAUAAGUGAUGCCCCUGGUCUCCCAACUAGGCUUAAAGAACCUGGCCUGGCCAUGGAGGAGGCUGGCAAACCCAGAUUUCAGUGGCAGUGGGUACAGACCUGGUAUGUUGAAUGAAUCAGGCAGUAGACAGGAGCCCAGCUUGUGUGAGGAGGCUGGGCCAGAACUAGUAGGAGCUGGGGAUGGAGCGAGGCUGCCUGCAGGACGAUGGUUCAGGGGCUGCUGCUGCCGUCUCCUGUCCUGGCUUCGGGGCUCUGAGUGGAAGAGAUACAAGCAG